UACGAAGGGGACUAGCGUUGUUCGGAAUUACUGGGCGUAAAGGGCGCGUAGGCGGCGACCCAAGUCAGAUGUGAAAGUCCUGGGCUUAACCUGGGGACUGCAUUUGAUACUGGGUUGCUUGAAUUCGGGAGAGGAUAGCGGAAUUCCCAGUGUAGAGGUGAAAUUCGUAGAUAUUGGGAAGAACACCGGUGGCGAAGGCGGCUAUCUGGACCGACAUUGACGCUGAGGCGCGAAAGCGUGGGGAGCAAACAGG
rnacentral:rRNA from 1 species